rnacentral:rRNA from 1 species
UACGGGGGGGGGGCAAGCGUUGUUCGGAAUUACUGGGCGUAAAGGGCGCGUAGGCGGCCUUCUAAGUCGAACGUGAAAUCCCCGGGCUCAACCCGGGAACUGCGUCCGAUACUGGAAGGCUUGAAUCCGGGAGAGGGAUGUGGAAUUCCAGGUGUAGCGGUGAAAUGCGUAGAUAUCUGGAGGAACACCGGUGGCGAAGGCGACAUCCUGGACCGGUAUUGACGCUGAGGCGCGAAAGCCAGGGGAGCAAACGGG